CACACAGUUCUAUAGACCGGAAGUUAUACAGCCCUCCAAUGUGGAGGCAGGAGCGCCACUUGCCGUCUCUCAGCUGUAUCAAAUGAGUCAUCUUGAGCAAGGCCUGCCCACAUGAAUUCAAUUUGUUAAUGUUUGGCCUCUGCCCCGGGAGGGCCCUGCCAGGAGCUUUAGGAUAAAACAACUCAGCAGAGCUCUAGGCAAGAGUUGACGAGACCUUCUCAAGAGCCACUGGUUCUGCCAAGGACCUCCUCCCUGCCUAGCAUGUGAAGACAUUGGAGCUUCUGGUUCUCAGGGCUUUGGACUCAGACUGAAUUAUACGACCUGUUUUCAGCUUCUCCACCUUACAGAUGGCAGACUGUGGGACUUCUUAGCCUCUAUAACCACGCAGACUCCAGUUGCAAACCUGACCCUACGGUUUUGGGCUAUGUCCCUGGCAGAGGACAUGGGAUUAUCAGGUCUUAUGUUCUGAUGCUACACUAAUGUCAUUGCAGCUAGUGGAUGCCAUUGACUCACAGUGAUUUCAGUUAACAAACAAGGACAUAGAAUAACUUCCAAGUGAUCUGCAAUAGAAAGAGCACUGAGUUGACUAAUAGUCAAGAAAUUGAACUUCUAAUCCCAAUUCUGAAACUAACUCAUUGUGUGGCCAUGAAUAAGUGACACAACUUUGCAACUCCUCAGCAUCCUCAUCUGUAAACAGGUUUUACCUACCUCAUUGAGUUAUUGGGGGAAUUAAAUGAAAUAAUGUAGGUUCAAUGCUUUUGAAUUUCUAGACUCAUCAUAGGAGUUUUAUACUUCAUAUCUGUUUUAAAGUAUUGUUAAAUUAUUUUAAAAAGCAUUUUGAAAUGUUAUGUAUGUUAUAACUGAGGUUAUUUUCUAAUUUGGUGGAAGACUAUUAGCAAGUUUGUAUCUCAUUUUGUAUCUGUCACAGUUCAUACACAUAUUCUGUUAAUGCUACCUUCAAAGGACAGAGUCCUGGGUAAGAGAAGACAAAAUUAGCAUUUAACUGCUCUCUACAUUAACCCUACUAUGGUAGGCUCUAAUCAAAGCACCAUUCUGUGUCUAGUGGUAGUUUGUCUUAAUUGCAAGCAAAGUUCUCCAGAAAAAACUAUUGCUCUCUCAUACCUAUGAAGUCAAAUAUAUAAAGCAACAGCAGUAUGUAGACCAAAGAUGGUAUUACUAAUUUCAUGGAGGCUAAUUAGGGGGACAUUUCUCUUCUUAUAAGAGUGACUGAACAAUGGUUCAUGCUUCUGGGUAUAAUUAUGGAGCCUCUGUGGUGUAAGGAUUCAAUUCCAGUGUUAGAGAUAAUUGUCUAAGACUUGAAAUGGGCAAAAGAGAUUACUGAGUAUCAUUCCAGAGGAGAACUGGGAGUUAUGUAGUAGAUCCUCUAGGGUUUAUUUGAUUCCAUAGGUGUAGGCACCUUCCAUUAACUUGCUAUUUUACAACAUUGUGGGGUAGCCCUUAGUUGUAGGAAACUGA
rnacentral:lncRNA from 1 species